AUUGAACGCUGGCGGCAGGCCUAACACAUGCAAGUCGAGCGAGCGGCGGACGGGUGAGUAAUGUCUGGGAAAUUGCCUGAUGGAGGGGGAUAACUACUGGAAACGGUAGCUAAUACCGCAUACCAUCAGAUGUGCCCAGAUGGGUUUAGCUCGUAGGUGGGGUAAUGGCUCACCUAGGCUACGAUCCCUAGCUGGUCUGAGAGGAUGACCAGCCACACUGGAACUGAGACACGGUCCGGACUCCUACGGGAGGCAGCAGUGGGGAAUAUUGCACAAGGGGCGCAAGCCUGAUGCAGCCAUGCCGCGUGUAUGAAGAAGGCCUUCGGGUUGUAAAGUACUGUCAGCGAGGAGGCGUUACUCGCAGAAGAAGCACCGGCUAACUCCGUGCCAGCAGCCGCGGUAAUAC
rnacentral:rRNA from 1 species